UGAGCACGGCCGCCGAAUCCGCGAAGUCAGCGGAACCGGGGAACCACGUUUCUGGGGUGAAUCAACGCGUUCGCGCGUCGUAGGGCACUUCCCAGCCCGAACCCGUCAGCUAACCCGGUAGGCGGAAUGGAAGCGACGC
rnacentral:sRNA from 1 species